GGCGGCGGCGGCGGCGGGCGGACCCUGCGGGCGGACCCAGCGGGCCCUGGGCCCCCGCGCGCCGGCACCCCCGGGACUCAGCGGGGAGCAGCACAAGAGGCCGGACAGGCUGGUUUCAUCUGGAAUGCAGAUUUUGGCUGCUGGGGCCAGAGAAGGAAAAAAAAAAAAAAAAAAAACCAACACAACUGGUUUCAGAUUAC